rnacentral:rRNA from 1 species
UACGAAGGGGGCGAGCGUUGUUCGGAUUUACUGGGCGUAAAGGGCGCGCAGGCGGCUUAUUUUGUCAGGCGUGAAAGCCCCGGGCUUAACCUGGGAACUGCGUUUGAUACGGAUGGGCUAGAGUUCGGGAGAGGAGAGUGGAAUUCCCAGUGUAGAGGUGAAAUUCGUAGAUAAUUGGGAAGAACACCGGUGGCGAAGGCGGCUCUCUGGACCGAUACUGACGCUGAGGCGCGAAAGCGUGGGGAGCAAACAGGA